AGUGAACGCUGGCGGUAGGCCUAACACAUGCAAGUCGAACGGCAGCACAGUAAGAGCUUGCUCUUACGGGUGGCGAGUGGCGGACGGGUGAGGAAUACAUCGGCAUCUACUUUUUCGUGGGGGAGAACGUAGGGAAACUUACGCUAAUACCGCAUACGACCUACGGGUGAAAGCAGGGGAUCUUCGGACCUUGCGCGAUUGAUGGAGCCGAUGGUGGGUUAGCUAGUUGGCGGGGUAAAGGCCCACCAAGGCGACGAUCCGUAGCUGGUCUGAGAGGAUGAUCAGCCACACUGGAACUGAGACACGGUCCAGACUCCUACGGGAGGCAGCAGUGGGGAAUAUUGGACAAUGGGCGCAAGCCUGAUCCAGCCAUACCGCGUGAGUGAAGAAGGCCUUCGGGUUGUAAAGCCCUUUUGUUGGGAAAGAAAAGCAGCAGGUUAAUACCCCGCUGUUCUGACGGUACCCAAAGAAUAAGCACCGGCUAACUUCGUG
rnacentral:rRNA from 1 species